GAUGAACGCUGGCGGCGUGCCUAAUACAUGCAAGUCGAGCGAACAGACGAGGAGCUUGCUCCUCUGACGUUAGCGGCGGACGGGUGAGUAACACGUGGAUAACCUACCUAUAAGACUGGGAUAACUUCGGGAAACCGGAGCUAAAACCGGAUAAUAUAUGGAACCGCAUGGUUCAAUAGUGAAAGACGGUUUUGCUGUCAUUUAUAGAUGGAUCCGCGCCGCAUUAGCUAGUUGGUAAGGUAACGGCUUACCAAGGCAACGAUGCGUAGCCGACCUGAGAGGGUGAUCGGCCACACUGGAACUGAGACACGGUCCAGACUCCUACGGGAGGCAGCAGUAGGGAAUCUUCCGCAAUGGGCGAAAGCCUGACGGAGCAACGCCGCGUGAGUGAUGAAGGUCUUCGGAUCGUAAAACUCUGUUAUUAGGGAAGAACAAAUGUGUAAGUAACUAUGCACGUCUUGACGGUACCUAAUCAGAAAGCCACGGCUAACUACGUG
rnacentral:rRNA from 1 species